rnacentral:rRNA from 1 species
UUAAGCAUAUCAAUAAGCGGAGGAAAAGAAACCAACAGGGAUUGCCCCAGUAACGGCGAGUGAAGCGGCAACAGCUCAAAUUUGAAAUCUGGCCUUCGGGUCCGAGUUGUAAUUUGGAGAGGAUGCUUUUGGCGCGGCGCCGUCCGAGUUCCUUGGAACAGGACGCCAUAGAGGGUGAGAGCCCCGUACGGGCGGCCGCCUAGCCUUUGUAAAGCUCCUUCGACGAGUCGAGUAGUUUGGGAAUGCUGCUCAAAAUGGGAGGUAAAUUUCUUCUAAAGCUAAAUACCGGCCAGAGACCGAUAGCGCACAAGUAGAGUGAUCGAAAGAUGAAAAGCACUUUGAAAAGAGGGUUAAAAAGUACGUGAAAUUGUUGAAAGGGAAGCGCCUGUGACCAGACUUGCGACCCGUGGAUCAUCCGGUGUUCUUCACCGGUGCACUCCGCGGGCUGCAGGCCAGCAUCGGUUUUCCUAGGGGGAUAAAGGUCGCAGGAACGUAGCUCUUUCGGGAGUGUUAUAGCCUGUGGCGUCAUGCCUCUGGGGAGACCGAGGACCGCGCUUCGGCAAGGAUGCUGGCGUAAUGGUCACCGGCGACCCGUCUUGAAACACGGACCAAGGAGUCAAGCAUUGGGGCGAGUGUCUGGGUGCCAAACCCGCACGCGAAAUGAAAGUAAACGCAGGUGAGAGCUUCGGCGCAUCACCGACCGAUCCUGAUGUCUUCGGAUGGAUUUGAGUAAGAGCCUUACCGCUUGGACCCGAAAGAUGGUGAACUAUGCCUGUAUAGGGUGAAGCCAGAGGAAACUCUGGUGGAGGCUCGCAGCGGUUCUGACGUGCAAAUCGAUCGUCAAAUAUGGGCAUGGGGGCGAAAGACUAAUCGAACCAUCUAGUAGCUGGUUACCGCCGAAGU